GAGACCCACGCCAACAGUUGCCAGCUYGUCCUCCGGGAUGGUGGGGACACUGUKGGGACCGCCUCUGCUAAAGAGGAGGAAGGAAUGGGCAACGGUAGGUCAGCAUGCCCCGAAUUAUCYGGGCUACACGCGGGCUACAAUGGGUGGGACAAUGGGUAUCKACACCGAAAGGKGAAGGCAAUCUCCUAAACCCAUCCKUAGUUCGGAUUGUGGGCUGCAACUCGCCCACAUGAAGCUGGAAUCUGUAGUAAUCGUGUCUCAAAAUGGCACGGUGAAUAU
rnacentral:rRNA from 1 species